GCGCUCCCUCGGCCCCAGCGCCCGGACCCGGGGGGCGGCCCGCGCGCCCCGCGCCCACGGGGGCCCCGCCUCCGGGCGGGCCGGCUGCUGGGGGGGCGCACCCCGACUUCCCCGGGGUCACAUGGGCUGCGGGGGGCGGGAGCGCCGGGAAAGGGGGAGGCGCGGGGAGCUCGCUGCCUGCCUGCCUGCUCGCUCGAGCCGGGGACGAGACGCCCCCCACCCCUCCAGCUCGGCCUCUCCAUCCAAGUUCCCGGUCCCCGGCCGCCCGGAUCCGGGGAUGGCAACCGCCGCCCGCCCGCCUCUGCGCCCUUUUUUCCAGCCGCCGCGCAGAAAUUUAGGUCAAGGACGUCGGGAUCAAACCCAAACCCUGGCGCUCCUUGGGCGCUCCCGGAGACCCCCAGAACGGGGGGCGGGGGGCUUUCAGGAUGGUGCGGACACCCUCCGCACAAACCCCAGCCACAAGUUUUAUUUUCCUUUCGCGCUGGAAGUUCUGUCUGGCUCUCGAUCCACACCGGCACGUCUUGCGCGGCUCCCCGCCCUUCCCCGGCAGAGGUACGAAUCCGUGCCCGGGGAAGGUUAUUUUGGAACUUUGAGGAAACGGACGCGAUUCCAGUGGAACUUUUGUAUCCACGUCCAUAAGUCAAUCAGGCUGCAGUUUUGCCUUCUCAUGUUGCCUUUCUCUGGUUAUACUGGCCUCAAAAAAUGAACUGGUAAGUUUCCUAUAAACAGCAUACAAUUGGACCUUGUUCCUUUAUUUAUUGGGUUGACUGGUCGCUGAGCUGAUUAAGAAGAAAGCUGACUCCUACCUUCCAAUCUUGUGUCCAUUUCAUCUGCUUCCAAACAUAAAGCCGCCCGCUGCUUUUGCAAGAUCUUGGCUGGUUUAAAAAGGCAGAUUCGGGAUUUGUGUGCAGGAUUUCAGGAAUGUGGGGUCUUCUGGUUUGUUUUGUGUGUGGAUGGCACAGCAGAAGGGAAACAAAGCAUUCUGCUGCCUCGCAUGGAGGUUCUUCUAGUAGCCAGGCGACCUUGAGCGGAAAAGCCACCCUCAGUCUCCAGUACCCCAUCUGUAAACUGUGGGUCACUAUGGUUUUAAAGUAUCUUGGUCCUCCUGCAAGAGGUGGAGCCUGAUCUUCCCACCCCCACCCCGGGUCCCCCAGCGUGGGCUGUACUUAGUCACUGGGUUCUGAUGAAUAGAAUGUGGAGGAAAUGAUGGUGGAUGAACUCCAAGGCUGGAUCAGUAAAGGCACCUGGCUCCCGCCUGGCUCCAUCUCUCAGGUCACUCUAGGGAAAGCCAGCUUUCAUGCCGUCAAGAUGCUCAAAGAGCCUGAUAGACAGCCCCACGUGGAGAAGACUUGCAGUUUCCUGUCG
ensembl:lncRNA